rnacentral:rRNA from 1 species
GCCAAGGAUGUUUUCAUUAAUCAGGAACGAAAGUUAGGGGAUCGAAGACGAUCAGAUACCGUCGUAGUCUUAACCAUAAACUAUGCCGACUAGGGAUCGGGCGGUGUUAUUUUUUGACCCGCUCGGCACCUUACACGAAAGUAAAGUUUUUGGGUUCUGGGGGGAGUAUGGUCGCAAGGCUGGAACUUAAAGAAAUUGACGGAAG